rnacentral:rRNA from 1 species
AAGUCGAACGAACUUCCGUUAAUUGAUUAUGACGUGCUUGCACUGAAUGAGAUUUUAACACGAAGUGAGUGGCGGACGGGUGAGUAACACGUGGGUAACCUGCCCAGAAGCAGGGGAUAACACCUGGAAACAGAUGCUAAUACCGUAUAACAGAGAAAACCGCCUGGUUUUCUUUUAAAAGAUGGCUCUGCUAUCACUUCUGGAUGGACCCGCGGCGCAUUAGCUAGUUGGUGAGGUAACGGCUCACCAAGGCGAUGAUGCGUAGCCGACCUGAGAGGGUAAUCGGCCACAUUGGGACUGAGACACGGCCCAGACUCCUACGGGAGGCAGCAGUAGGGAAUCUUCCACAAUGGACGCAAGUCUGAUGGAGCAACGCCGCGUGAGUGAAGAAGGGUUUCGGCUCGUAAAGCUCUGUUGUUAAAGAAGAACGUGGGUGAGAGUAACUGUUCACCCAGUGACGGUAUUUAACCAGAAAGCCACGGCUAACUACGUGCCAGCAGCCGCGGUAAUACGUAGGUGGCAAGCGUUAUCCGGAUUUAUUGGGCGUAAAGCGAGCGCAGGCGGUCUUUUAAGUCUAAUGUGAAAGCCUUCGGCUCAACCGAAGAAGUGCAUUGGAAACUGGGAGACUUGAGUGCAGAAGAGGACAGUGGAACUCCAUGUGUAGCGGUGAAAUGCGUAGAUAUAUGGAAGAACACCAGUGGCGAAGGCGGCUGUCUGGUCUGUAACUGACGCUGAGGCUCGAAAGCAUGGGUAGCGAACAGGAUUAGAUACCCUGGUAGUCCAUGCCGUAAACGAUGAUUACUAAGUGUUGGAGGGUUUCCGCCCUUCAGUGCUGCAGCUAACGCAUUAAGUAAUCCGCCUGGGGAGUACGACCGCAAGGUUGAAACUCAAAAGAAUUGACGGGGGCCCGCACAAGCGGUGGAGCAUGUGGUUUAAUUCGAAGCUACGCGAAGAACCUUACCAGGUCUUGACAUCUUCUGCCAACCUAAGAGAUUAGGCGUUCCCUUCGGGGACAGAAUGACAGGUGGUGCAUGGUUGUCGUCAGCUCGUGUCGUGAGAUGUUGGGUUAAGUCCCGCAACGAGCGCAACCCUUAUUACUAGUUGCCAGCAUUCAGUUGGGCACUCUAGUGAGACUGCCGGUGACAAACCGGAGGAAGGUGGGGACGACGUCAAAUCAUCAUGCCCCUUAUGACCUGGGCUACACACGUGCUACAAUGGAUGGUACAACGAGUCGCGAAACCGCGAGGUUUAGCUAAUCUCUUAAAACCAUUCUCAGUUCGGACUGUAGGCUGCAACUCGCCUACACGAAGUCGGAAUCGCUAGUAAUCGCGGAUCAGCAUGCCGCGGUGAAUACGUUCCCGGGCCUUGUACACACCGCCCGUCACACCAUGAGAGUUUGUAACACCCAAAGCCGGUGGG